rnacentral:lncRNA from 1 species
GCUGAGGGGAUAUGACCAAAGACUAUAUCCAGUGCAGUCCAAAUUACACAAGGCAAAAUACAAAGACAAUGCCAAGAUGGGUAGAAAAGUUAGGAUAUAGGUUAGGAUGGAAGAUGUGACCUGUGAGAUUCAAUGUUGGCAGAGAAAUCAUCUGUGUCAAAUUCCACAAACCAGAAUUCACAAAGUUGCUGAGCCCACACAUGUAGGAUGAAAGAGAGUAAUGAAAACUAAUGACAGGAAACCAGCACCCUGACAAACAGAGUGGACCCCUGUGAAUUCCUUUUGUAGCAGACUCCAUUGGGUAACAACACUGGAGUGCAUUUUCUGCUUCCUCCAGUUUAAGUAAAUCCUACUUUUGUGCAGGUAACAAUGUGCCUGAUGCUGCAAAUGAAUCAUAACUGCUGUAGCCAAUCGCUGAGAUUCCAGUUCACCUUGCCAGUGAUUGAUGUAGAGAUUGGCCAAUGACAUCUAAGAAAACGACUGCAGUGACGAAUUCUGGGAAUUAUUUUCCUGCAGUAAAAUGCAAGACGUGUGAAGGAGAAACUCCUCUUCUCCUUCCUUCUGAUGAGAGUGCUGCCCUGUGAGAACGUGAUAUGGGGUAGAUGGCAGACAUCUUGGAAGAAGGAAAGAAAGGCCAACGGAAGCACAGGGAUUGCAAACCACUGCCCUGAUACCAAAAAGCCUCUGAAUCAACCCUGGAACUGGGAGGUGGAGAGUUAUUUAUUUUUGUAAAUAACUCUUAGCUUUUCCAUAACUCUUAGCUUGUCUAUAACUCACAGAUAAUAGCAUCUUAACUGAUAAUACUGAUAUGAUCUCAAGAGUAUGUUCUAUAAACAAAAGUGUUGCGUAGUCAGCUGAGUUAGAAAAACGUUGUAUAUUAUAUCCAACUCUUUGUAUUUCAUUUUUGCAAAUUAAAGGCUAUGAGAAGACCUGCAGUUAAAAAAUAAAAACUGUUUAGCUUUUUUUAACAUGGUAUUUCCUAAAAUUAAUCAUAUGAUCAUUUUAAAGACUCCUUAAUAUCUUCAAGAUAUUAAGCACUUCACAGUGUCUGUUUUGGAAAAAUUAAUUUAGGCUUCGUGAGAAAAAGAAAGGAGAUCCUAACACCAAGUAUUGGAUACGCCAAUUCCUACACAGCCUCGAUGGGGCACAAAACAGAAAGCGCAGCUUUAUCUUUCUAAAUCAUCUGCUAUUUCCAGGAGGCCAAGGAAAAGGAAUAAAUUUGACAACUAUCCACUUAUAUCCCUGAAUUCUGACAACAGAAUGCACUAAUGAAGGACCCUCGACAUGAUAACACGGCCACAGUCCAGUCAUCCUGGAUAGCAAAUCUGGAAAUGCAUUUUGACUGCUGCACUUAGGACACAUUUUUAUUGUGGCUUGCAGACAGUUACCCUUCAACGAUGUGGUAACUAAACAGAUUUCUAAUUUUCUUCCACUCUCUUUCUAAGAAAGCAAAAUGAGAUUGAGGAAAAUGCAUUUCAUUGAGAUGGACAGGAUGAACCAGUAAUUCAGACUACAGGAAAAAAGCAGUAAGACAGUUCAGAAAAGCUUAAAAAUCUUGAAGUCUGUUCCAUGAAGGAAAGGGUCACAACGAAUGUCGGCACAGGUACUUGGAGGAAAGUGGGUAGAGAGGGCCAUACUGAGAUACUGCAUAAAACAAAUAUGCAUAAAAGAAACAGAAAACCUUGUCUCACUUUCUCGGUUUCAUGCACCUGGAUUCUGUUGUUUAUUUUACCCAAGUACUUCACAAACCUGAUGCCAACAGCAACUGUGAAAUGGAAGCAACUCUACAAAUUAUUGCCAUCAUGAGACUAUCAUUAGGUCUACAUAGCUCAAGCUUCACUUGGAGUUCAAUUGUGUGAUUCAGAAGCACAGCUAGGAUAAGUCAGAGACUGGAAAGGGGAAGAGGAGAGACGUGCAGGAUAUUUUUUUUUAACCAGUGAAACAACUCCCGACUUCCAGGACCAGACAAUAUACUUAAUGCACAAAACCAAUAUAUUUUAUGGCCUAAAUGAAAAAAAGUAAAGUGGAAGGUCGGGCGCUGUUCCUUUAAGAUGCUUCCAGAAUCAAAUACCACUCUUGAAAGGGCUGCCAAACAAUGUAUCCAGGUAAAGAAUGAAAAAAAUAUAUUCAGAGGAAAGGCAGGAGGAUGUGUGGAAAGCUCAGUGAGAUUAUGGAAGUGCAGUAAUUGAAUAUGACACAAGAGUCAAGUGCAAGAGGGAACUGGCUGGAGUGCAGUGGCGCAAUCUCAGCUCACUGAAACCUCCACCUCCCAGGUUCAAGUGAUUCUCCUGCCUCAGCCUCCCGAGUACCUGGGAUUCCAGGUGAGCGCCACCACACCCGGCUAAUUUUUGCAUUUGUAGCAGAGAUGGAGUUUUGCCAUGUUGGCCAGGCUGGUCUUGAACUCCUGACCUCAAAUGAUCCGCCCGCCUGGGCCUCCCAAACUGCUGGCAUUACAGGCGCAAGCCACUGCACCUGGCCUUAAUCACUUUUUGCUGAAAUAAAUUGCACACU